CUAACACAUGCAAGUCGAACGGUAACAGGAAACAGCUUGCUGUUUCGCUGACGAGUGGCGGACGGGUGAGUAAUGUCUGGGAAACUGCCCGAUGGAGGGGGAUAACUACUGGAAACGGUAGCUAAUACCGCAUAACGUCGCAAGACCAAAGAGGGGGACCUUCGGGCCUCUUGCCAUCGGAUGUGCCCAGAUGGGAUUAGCUAGUAGGUGGGGUAACGGCUCACCUAGGCGACGAUCCCUAGCUGGUCUGAGAGGAUGACCAGCCACACUGGAACUGAGACACGGUCCAGACUCCUACGGGAGGCAGCAGUGGGGAAUAUUGCACAAUGGGCGCAAGCCUGAUGCAGCCAUGCCGCGUGUAUGAAGAAGGCCUUCGGGUUGUAAAGUACUUUCAGCGGGGAGGAAGGGAGUAAAGUUAAUACCUUUGCUCAUUGACGUUACCCGCAGAAGAAGCACCGGCUAACUCCGUGCCAGCAGCCGCGGUAAUACGGAGGGUGCAAGCGUUAAUCGGAAUUACUGGGCGUAAAGCGCACGCAGGCCGGUUUGUUAAAGUCAGAUGUGAAAUCCCCGGGCUCAACCUUGGGAACUGCAUCUGAUACCCGGUAACGUUGAGUCUCGUAGAGGGGGGUAAGAAUUCCAGGUGUAGCGGUGAAAUGCGUAGAGAUCUGGAAGAAUACCGGUGGCGAAGGCGGCCCCCUGGACGAAGACUGACGCUCAGGUGCGAAAGCGUGGGGAGCAAACAGGAUUAGAUACCCUGGUAGUCCACGCCGUAAACGAUGUCGACUUGGAGGUUGUGCCCUUGAGGCGUGGCUUCCGGAGCUAACGCGUUAAGUCGACCGCCUGGGGAGUACGGCCGCAAGGUUAAAACUCAAAUGAAUUGACGGGGGCCCGCACAAGCGGUGGAGCAUGUGGUUUAAUUCGAUGCAACGCGAAGAACCUUACCUGGUCUUGACAUCCACGGAAGUUUUCAGAGAUGAGAAUGUGCCUUCGGGAACCGUGAGACAGGUGCUGCAUGGCUGUCGUCAGCUCGUGUUGUGAAAUGUUGGGUUAAGUCCCGCAACGAGCGCAACCCUUAUCCUUUGUUGCCAGCGGUCCGGCCGGGAACUCAAAGGAGACUGCCAGUGAUAAACUGGAGGAAGGUGGGGAUGACGUCAAGUCAUCAUGGCCCUUACGACCAGGGCUACACACGUGCUACAAUGGCGCAUACAAAGAGAAGCGACCUCGCGAGAGCAAGCGGACCUCAUAAAGUGCGUCGUAGUCCGGAUUGGAGUCUGCAACUCGACUCCAUGAAGUCGGAAUCGCUAGUAAUCGUGGAUCAGAAUGCCACGGUGAAUACGUUCCCGGGCCUUGUACACACCGCCCGUCACACCAUGGGAGUGGGUUGCAAAAGAAGUAGGUAGCUUAACCUUCGGGAGGGCGCUUACCACUUUGUGAUUCAUGACUGGGGUGAAGUC
rnacentral:rRNA from 1 species